UACGUAGGUGGCAAGCGUUGUCCGGAUUUACUGGGCGUAAAGAGCGCGCAGGCGGUUGUGCAAGUCGCGUGUGAAAGCCCCCGGCUCAACUGGGGAGGGUCACGCGAUACUGUUCGACUUGAAGGCAGGAGAGGGAAGUGGAAUUCCCGGUGUAGUGGUGAAAUGCGUAGAUAUCGGGAGGAACACCAGUGGCGAAGGCGGCUUCCUGGACCUGUUCUGACGCUGAGGAGCGAAAGCGUGGGGAGCGAUCCGG
rnacentral:rRNA from 1 species